rnacentral:lncRNA from 10 species
CUACUGUUAUGAAUUGCCACAACUUGGAGGCUUAGAACAACACAAAUUAGUACUCUCACAGUCCUGAAGGCUACAGCUCUGCAAUCAAGAUAUCAGCAAGGCCAUCAUUCCACUAAGGCUCUAAGGAAGAAUCCAUUUUUGCCUCUUCCUGCUUCUGGGAUGCAUCCACUUUAUUAGACGGCAAACUAGAAAAUGCUUCCUACAGUCGCCACAUAAAAAGGGUGGGGCAGUAGGAGACACUGAAUUCACAUAUCAUUGAAAACCAAAAUAUUAGAAGAGCUUAAGUUUUAAAGAAUGCUGGCAAAUGUUUAAGCGAUCAGCACUGCUGGUUUACUAUAAACAUAAUGGACUACACGUUGAGUACCUUGACAUAUGAGUAAAUUCAUAUAGUACAAAUCAUUCAACACACAUAUCUUGAGAACAAGUGAGAAGACAGCCAUCUGCAAACCAGAGAGAAAGUCCUCAUAAGGAACUGAAUCAAACUUCACCUUGAUCUUGGGCUUCCCAGCCUUUGCAACUGUGAGAAAUAAAUGUGUCUUUAUGCCA